rnacentral:rRNA from 1 species
GUGAGGAAUAUUGCGCAAUGGAGGCAACUCUGACGCAGCCAUGCCGCGUGCAGGAAGAAGGCGCUACGCGUUGUAAACUGCUUUUAACCGGGAAGAAACCCCAGGACGUGUCCUGGGUUGACGGUACCGGAGGAAUAAGCACCGGCUAACUUCGUGCCAGCAGCCGCGGUAAUACGAAGGGUGCAAGCGUUAUCAGGAUUCAUUGGGUUUAAAGGGUGCGUAGGCGGAGCGUUAAGUCAGUGGUGAAAUCCUGCAGCUUAACUGUAGACUUGCCAAUGAUACUGGCGCUCUUGAUUGCGCUUGAAGUGGGCGGAAUGUGCCGUGUAGCGGUGAAAUGCUUAGAUAUGGCACAGAACACCAAUUGCGAAGGCAGCUCACUAAGGCGAUACUGACGCUGAGGCACGAAAGCGUGGGGAUCGAACAGGAUUAGAAACCCUGGUAGUCC